rnacentral:rRNA from 1 species
CAGUCGCCACGGUAAUACGUAGGGGGCGAGCGUUGUCCGAAGUUACUGGGCGUAAAGCGCGCGUAGGCGGCUUCUUAAGUCUGAGGUGAAAGGUUCAACGCUUAACGUGAACAGUGCCUUGGAUACUGGGGAGCUUGAGUAUGGGAGAGGGCAGUGGAAUGGCUGGUGUAGCGGUGAAAUGCGUAGAUACCAGUCGGAACACCCAUGGCGAAGGCAGCUGCCUGGCCUAAUACUGACGCUGAGGUGCGAAAGCGUGGGGAGCGAACGGGAUUAGAUACCCAGUAGUCCCUGUCUCUUAUAC